CCAUUUCUCAUUCAUAUGGCCGGCCAAAGAAGAACAAAGGAGGAAAGGAAAAAAACAAGAACCCUAGGUAGGAAAAUUGAAGCAAAAGUGUGGGAUUUCAAGGGAUUAAGCUAAUAAAGGUAAAAUUUCUUGAUUUUGACUUGUGAUUUACACUACCCAUGCUUUCUUUUUCAUUUUCCAUGGUUAGAUUUCAUGUUUUCAUGGUGAAUUCAUGGCUGGUCAAAAUGGGUAUGGAGAGAGAAAGAUGUUAGAUUGAUUUGAUUUUAAGUUAUGUUAGUGUUUUUAGUUAGUUUAGCAUAUUUAGAAACAAAACAACAAGAAAAGAAUUCAUUUUUCCCAUCAACCAUCAAUGGCCGAAUUUUCUAGGGAGGAUAUUGUGGCUGAAAUUGAUGAUAUUUCAUGAUAUUUUGGUGUUAUUUGAUGUUUGGUGAGGCUAAAAAUUAAAUGGAAAAUUUUGGUGUGAAAAUCUGAAUUUUUACCUGAUGUAUAGACAUGUGUGAUUAUUGAUCCAGGACUAAUAAAUUGAAUCUCAUUCACAGUUACUGAGGUAAUUUAGGUAUAAUUGGAGUGUAGAAAGUGAAAGAAAUUGAUUUGGAGUUAAAUUGGAGGUUUUAGCCAAUUACACCGAGAAUAGUGCGAAUUAGGUCGAUUACCAUAUUUAAACAGCUAUUCGGACAUUUUGCAUUCCAUCGCAUGCAUUCAUUUAGAUUUAGAAAGGCUGAAAUAGUUUAUGAUAAAUUGACAUAAUUUAUUGAAAUUCGUGUCACGUAUAAUGUAUAGGUGGUGAGCCCUCUAAUAAAGGUAAAGAGAUUGUGCCCGAAGACCGAAAAUAAGAGUAUAUCGAACUCCUAGUACUGUGAGUAACCUUAUCAUUAUUUUAAUUAUCUAAAGUAUGUUUUAACUCGGUUUUGGUGAAAUUUUAUGAAAAUGAGUUAAAUGGCAAAUUUUAGGUUUUAUAAACAGAAAUGUGUUUAAAUGAAAAGAUUUUAUAAAUUGUCUUGAAACGAAAUAACGAUUUUGAAAAUAGAGUAAUUGGAGACCACCAGUAUGUUGUAAAUUUAUGAUUGGAAAUUGAUGGCUUAUGUUAUAUUGUUAUUGUGUUGGCAUGACUGGAUGGGCUGUAUUUUAUGAAUUGUAUAAAUUGUUUUAUUUUACCCUUGCAAGCUGGGUAGUAAUAUAUUAGCCUUAUCAUGUUGUCAAAAUUUUAUUAUAUGGUGAGUUUAGCUUACUGCAGUAGGAGGGUUUCCGUGGACUAGCCUAUUAGAGGGGCACGGUAAACCCUGUUAUAUUUUACCUCGGUUGGAGAGGCGAGUAGGAUAACUCCCGAGGUAUGAUUUUAGAGUUCACUUCACGCCAAACCAGCACGUGAAGGUAAGCUCGGCCAACGCCAAGGAACGGCUAUAUUUUCAAAAUGAAACAUAUUUUAUGCGUACAUGACUUUCUAAUAACCUUGGCAGACUCAAUUGGGAUAGCCCUCGACCAAGGUAUCCUAGAUAACUGAGUAUGAUAAUAAUUUUUGGCAUAAGCCAAGCUUUUUAAGAAAUUCAUAAGCCAUACUAAUUACUUGAUUUAAAUAAAUUGAUUUCAUUUGGUUGAAAUAAGCUGAAAGGUGAUAAAUUACAGUUUGAUGAAAUGUUUUAAUAGUCUCCUUUUACUCGCCUUUAGAUAUUUUAAAUGAUAUUUGUUUACUCACUAGGAUUUUAUAAUCUCACCACCCUCCUUUCCACCCAUUUCAAGUUCAGAAUAGACUGUAGAUAGCUUAUCGCAUCGAGGACUACCAUUGGAAUUGCAUUUUUCAAACUGUAGGUUCACAGUCCUCUUUGCUUUUGAAUAUUCGGGAAUCCCACUUAUUACUGUAAAUUAAAUUUCAUACUCUAGUUAUUUGUACUACUAUAUAUAGGAAUUUAUUUUGCUUUUACGUUAUGAAAAAAAAUUAUUUACGCAGUGUUCUAAAAUUAUUGUUUUAUAAGAAAAUUGAAUAUUUUACUUAAUAUUUCUUUUAUUUUUCUAUUAUAUCCAAAUAAUCAUAAUUUCAUUUUAAAUGAAGAUUUUAGACUUUUAAACUCAUUUUGAUUAUGAAUUAUGUGUUUUGUACUUGUAUAUUACAUUUUAGUCAGUUUCAAAAUUUUUGAGAAAAAUGACCAAAAUACCCCUAUGAGACGAAAAUUAUUAUUUUAUUUGUUUUAAGUUGAAAACAGUUUAAAAUCUUCUAGAACGUGGUAAUUGACAACAGUUACUCAUAGGGUAAAUGAUAAGUUGAUAUUAAAGUCUUGCAGGGUUCCGGUUGACAUUUCAGGUAAUGAGUGUCGAUCGGGGUAUCGCGGCGGUUGUCACUGGCUUGAGGGGAGUUUCGGGUCGUGACAAAGAAUGUGUCAAAAAGUUUAUUAUGGGAAUGGAUAAUGUCUCCCAAUCAGAUAAGAUAAAUCUGAUUAUUCCAUUAAAGAUUAUAUUCUUUAACGAGAUUGAGAUGAUCAAAUUAAGACUCAACCACUUUUUUAGAAGAAGAGCCAAUAAGAAGUCAAAAUGGUACUCUAAUUAAUGACAUAAGCUUGAACCUUCCACAGUUUUCUAUCUACUACAUCGUCGAGGACAAUUCUUUAGUUUUCACUCUUAAAAAUAAAGUUAGAGAUUAAAAACUCUCUUCUUCGCUACUAAAAGGUAAUGGAAAUAUUCACUAUUUCAUCUCCAAACGAUUAAUACAUGAUAAAAUUAAUUUAUGAUUAAAAUGUUAAUGACCUUAAAUUGAAUAGAAGGGUAGAUGAAAAUUAAUUAAAAAAAGAAAAAUAAUAUGAGUAAAUCGCAAUUUCUUUUAAAUACAUAUAUCUCAAUCUAUGGUGGAAAGUAACGAACAUCUUCGUUGUUGUCCUUUUGCUAGCGCGCUAAUUUUAUAUAUAUAUAUGUAUACAUACAUAUAAUUAAUUAAUGUAUUAAAUUACUAUCUUAAGUAGCAUCUUUUGCCCCUGCCAUCUGCUAAUGAAAUCUUAUUUUAUUAUAAACAGUACAUUAAUUAAACCUUAUAAUAGAGUCUAGUGGCACUUGUUAGCAAAAUCAAUAAAAAACACAAAAAGAAAAUCUUGAAAUCCUGGAUGCUUGAUGAUUGGUAAUUGUAUCCUCUUUCUUUCUUUGUGCUUUUUUCAUAGAGUUACAGGAAAUAUUACACCAUGCGAAUAAAAAAAGAAAAAAGAAAAUGUAAACCCUAUCCUUGUUUUAGUAUUUUUCUUGUCGAAUAAAGUUUACAAGUAAAUAAGCUAUUCAAUUCCUUAAAUUAAGAUGAUAUAUGCGUUGCAUUGCACCCCAUCCUGACCGAACAAGCCUUUGAAGGCAUAGGUAGUGCAUUUCAUAAUUAACAUAAACAAGGAUUACCGACUAUAAUUUUUAGCACAAUACAACCUAGUUGUUGUCGAAAUUAUAUAACUAGCCCUUUUGUUAAUAAUUUUUCCUCUCUCUAUGCUUUUCUUAAUUGAAUUAAUUUUUUUGAAUUUUUUCUUUUUCAUCUCAACAGCAGAAAUAAUCCCAAGGAACCAAACGCCAAACCCCCGAUCGCAACGCAAAGCAUAUCCAAAGUCCCUUCCCUCCUCAGCUUCUUUUCUUUCCUUUCU
rnacentral:lncRNA from 1 species